rnacentral:rRNA from 1 species
UACGUAGGGUGCGAGCGUUAAUCGGAAUUACUGGGCGUAAAGCGUACGCAGGCGGCUAUGCAAGACAGAUGUGAAAUCCCCGGGCUCAACCUGGGAACUGCAUUUGUGACUGCAUAGCUAGAGUUUGUCAGAGGGGGGUGGAAUUCCACGUGUAGCAGUGAAAUGCGUAGAGAUGUGGAGGAACACCGAUGGCGAAGGCAGCCCCCUGGGACCUGACUGACGCUCAUGUACGAAAGCGUGGGGAGCAAACAGG